UACCCCUUCGCAUCCUGCGAACAACCUCUCUAACCUCCUCUACCUUAAAACAUCUACAAUAACUAAAAUUUCUGACACUCCUCUGAGUGCUCCAGCUCUCCUAACACAAUAGCUCUAUCCCCUUCGUCAUUCAAGAGCCUAUGAAAAUACGACUGCCAUUUAUUCUUAAUGUGGCCGUCCUCCACCAACACUGUACCAUCCUCCCCCUUAAUGCACUUCACCUGAUCGAGGUCACGACCCUUCCUCUCCCUAGCCUUAGAGAGUCUAAACAACUUUUUUUCCCUCCUUUCUCCUGUAACCCCGCAUACAAGCUCUCAAUUACUGCCGUCUUAGCUGCCGUAAUUGCUAACUUAGCCUCCUUCCUAGCUAACUUGUACUCUUUCCUGUUUACCCGCUUCUCUUCUUCAUCCUUACUCUCAACCAACUUAGCAUACGCCC
rnacentral:lncRNA from 1 species